rnacentral:misc_RNA from 1 species
GAUGAAGAACGUAGCGAAAUGCGAUACGUAAUGUGAAUUGCAGAAUUCAGUGAAUCAUCGAGUCUUUGAACGCACAUUGCGCCCCCUGGUAUUCCGGGGGGCAUGCCUGUCCGAGCGUCAUUGCUGCCCUCAAGCACGGCUUGUGUGUUGGGCCUCCGCCCCCCGGCUCCCGGGGGGCGGGCCCGAAAGGCAGCGGCGGCACCGCGUCCGGUCCUCGAGCGUAUGGGGCUUCGUCACCCGCUCCGUAGGCCCGGCCGGCGCCCGCCGGCGACCCCCCUCAAUCUUUCCAGGUUGACCUCGGAUCAGGUAGGGAUACCCGCUGAACUUAAGCAUAUCAAUAAGCGGAGGA